GCUGUUUCUCAUGAAUAAGAAAUCAUUUUAUGCAUUUCCUUGCAAGUGAUGAUCUGCUACAACGUAUUUUUAAGCUUAUAUGUCACACGUUUAAAACAUCUGAACCAUGCAAAACUUGGGUUCUGACAUGAAGAUGGUCCAUGUCAGAGAUCAGAUCGAUCCACUCAUUAGGUGAGGCGCACCUUAUGUUGAAUCAGAUUCUUGGAUAUACUUUUAUUUUGAUGGUGUGGUCCACCUGAUGAUUGGUUUCUGCAGACACGCUACUGCAGAAUGGGCUUAGAUGGAAUGUUUUGAUCAUAAUUAACGACUUAGAUUUAAUCAGGUAAGGAAUCAAGUGUAAGAAAUGCUUCCAAUGAGAACAAACAAGUUGGCCCUUCUACACUUGGUCGGCGUAUAAGAAAAUGCCUGGAACACCUAAAAAAGAGUGACCCCCUCAUCACUUUAACUCACACAGGAGACUGUCGGAAAGCCCCUGAGAAUUGCAACAAGAAGGAUAAUUGAAAGGCUAAUGUCAUACUUCCAGACAUGCCUUUAUGCUUUAUAAUAGAAGAGAGUCAAGAGAAGGACUAAAACCACCCAUUUUUACAUACACACAAACACACACAAGUAAAUAAAUAAAUAAAUAAAGUUUUUGAGCUCUGCUUCCUCAGAAAUUUCUUACAGUAUUAACAGUUGUGUGUGAAAUUCUACUAUAAAAUGAAGUUCAUAUGUGCAGGGAGGUGUAUGAACGUUUUCAAGCUUCCUAUAAAGGCAAGGAAGACAUCCACACCAGGUUGAUGAGGAAGUACAUGGACAUUCCUGAAUGGUGGUUCUACCUGUUGCUGGUGGUGACUGUUGGAAUCUCUCUUAUCAUGUGCACUGACCUAAAAGACUAGGUUCAACUGCCAUGGUGGGAUCUCCAAUUCGCCUGCGCUAUUGCCUUUGUUUUCACUCUUCCCAUCAGCAUUAUAACUACCACUACAAAUCAGGUAUAGAGAGUCUUAUCCUCUUUCCUUCUCUUUCUUUUAUUCCAUUUACACCCAAAAACCAAACCAGGCCUAUGUUGGAGGUGCCUUCAAUAGUGUAUAAUCAUUCACAAAAAAACCUCAAGAUCACAAAAGAGGACUUGAAUAGCUGAUGCUACUGCAAUUCAUGUUAUCACAACAAUAUCCUAAGGUUCUAAUAUAUAUCAACACUCAAAAGAUAAUACUGAAAUUUCAUUUAUUGCCAUAAAUUCCAGUGCAUGAAAGUGUCACAAAGGAGUCCUUAAAAAUACCAGGAUAUUUUUGGAUGCUCUUAUAUUUAUUGGUACCUUCAAUUUUCAGAUGCCAGGGCUAAACAUCAUCAUAGAAUACAUCAUGGGUUUGAUACUACCAGGAAGGCCAAUAGCCAAUGUUUGCUUCAUAGUGUAUGGGUAUCUGAGCAUGACACAGGCCAUCUCCUUCCUUUAUGAUUUCAAGCUUGGACACUACAUGAAGAUCCUGCCAAGAUAAAUGUUCUUAGUUUAGGUAUUUUUUUUCUCCAUUCAACCUUCUAUAACAGUCUAUAGGGCAUUUAGAAAAGAAACAUGGGAAUCAAGCAGAGAAUGUUAAGAUGCUCAUAUGAUAAACCUUACUUUUAGAUCAGCAUUUGAACAUUCGAAUAAUGGUUGCCAACAUGAAUUUAGGAAAUUGUAAGUAACAGCUAGCUAUGAUUUGAGAAAUAAUGAAGGCCAGUGUAUGUGUGAGGACCGACCAUUCAUCAUGUAGGCCCCACCGUGUAUAUACUGUGGCCUGAAAAUCAGGCUAGCCUGAUCAUCAUGUGGGCCUCAUUCAUUUGGAUGAUAAAAAGGAAUAGACGAACAGUCCACAUUCUACCUCUGUAUGUGCCCACCUUAUGAAUGGCAUUAGUUUCACUCAGAGUUGUUCACAUGUGCAGCUCCCAAUCCAGAGCUGUUCAAAUUUUUGGUCCAAAUCAAAUCUAGACCAUUGCCACCCCUAGUGUUGAAAAUAACCUAGAAAUUGUUCACUAGCUAUAACUAUAAGAAAAAAUUGGGCAUGAUAGAUUAUGUAUUUAUACUCUUUAUAAGACAUGAAAUAUCUAUCUUACAAGUUGACAGUAAUAGUCUAUAGUAAUAGUUCAGGCAUGCACGAGAGAAUGCUGUGAUUUGAGGUUGUUCAGGCAUCCAUCUGAUGGGGCUAAUCAAUACAAAGUAGGAUGAUACAGAGUACUAAUUGCAUGAUUGCUGGCUAUUGAAAUUAUAGAAACAUACAUGAUCUCUAAUACAUAGUUAUGGUUAAUAAAAAUGAGAUGAACUCAUUUAUAAGUGACACCCUAACAAGCCUUAAGAUUUACCAAGAGAACACACAGUAUGCUGACAAACCAACACAUUUCUUUCCAUUUCCCUUUUAGAUACUAGAUUCAAACAGAGAAGCAGGUUUUAUGGGGAAAAAAAAAACACAAGCCCAUUCAAUCCACUAUGCACUUGGUGGAAGCAGAUUUUUUGAAUUAAUCAUCUUAAUGCUUUGAAAAGUGGAAACAAAUUAGACUUGAUUCAAUCUCCUUCCCACUCUAAACCAUCCCACCAUUGCAAAACUUCUGGCAAAUCCUUAAUUCAUCAAAUGAAUUUUUCUCAUUAGGUGAAACAUACUUUUCUAGUUCUCCAUGAACACAGUAAUUUUUGCCUAAAGAUAGCUAUACUUUCCAUUUGCUCAUUGAUGGUUCCCUGUGGAUUAAUCUAGCAAGAUAAUGGUAGGUUUACAAAGGAUUUGGUUUGGCCACACAAACACUAACUGAAAUGAGAAAAAAUGGUUGUUUUCAUCCACAAAUUAAGUUACUAAGAAAGCUUAUCAUUUUUUUUCUUUGAUUAGGGUUAAAUCUUCUCUUUCGAUCUACUUCGACUAGUUGGAAAUUCAAUCGCCCAUCCCACCAUUCUCACUGUCUAGAAAGGCAGCGAUCCGGUGACCGGAGAACUGCACCGGUGUCUCCAGAUGGCUCCUAUGCAUUGCCAAGUGGCACUGUUGCUGUUCUCAAACUAAAUGAGUAAGAUGAUAUCUUUAUCUUGGAGAUGGUUUCUUCAGGUUGUCAUUGGAGCUAGGUUAUAGCAUGUUAACCAUUUGACCUUCUGAAAACAGGGUUGCUUUUGAGAGGGAAAUUGAGGGUUUACCUUCUACUUGGCAUGUCAGCGAUCUCCCUACAAAAUUGCAUUGUCCAUUGUGUAAAGAAGUAAUGAAAGAUGUUGUCCUCACUAGCAAGUGUUGUUUCAAGAGUUUUUGUGACAAAUGUAUCCGAGACCACAUAAUUUCAAAGUUCAUGUGUGCAUGUGGAGCUACAAAUAUACUUGCAGAUGGCGCUUAGGGAAACUAUCAACCGCAUCUUGGAGUCAACUACCAGUAGUGAAGAAAAUGCUGGAAGUGUAUUACAUGUGUAAGGUUUGUAAGCUGGUGAUGACAAUCUGGUUUAGUAUAUUGAAAUCAAACAUUUCAUAUAAGUUGAGUGAUCUAACCUGUUUUCUUUAGAUAUGGAGUCCGUUGGUGUUCACUGCCUAAAGCUCCAUCCCCUACUCUUUCUGCCACUGCAAAAGAGGAAACUAUGACAGAUCAUUGUGAAGAUCAUACUCAUAAUAUAAAGGAGACCUUUUCUAUACAUUGGAAGUUUCCGCUGGAGGGACCCACUGUUCCUAUGUUCUUAUUCAUCCCAUUCAUAAUUUUAUUUUAAUGUAAUUUAUUCUAUUUGUCUGUGUUGCAGCUGCUGACUUGUAAUGGAGAACCCCUCAAGAUAUUGCUGGUGAAAACCAUGCAAUGCCUUUUGGCCCUUCGGCGUACAACCCAGAUUGGUCUGGCAUGCAAUGGGGAAUGGAUGGAUAUAUGGCACCUCUUGCUAGUCCUAUGCCCUUAUAUGGGUUAUAUGAUGCCGAUCGUUCCUCCUCAAAGGGCUGCAGUAGGGAAAUAUUGUAGAGAGCACUGUUUAGUGGCAGUAGGAAAAAACAACAUCUAUUGCUUUAGAGAAUUGAUAAUGUGCAUGCCUGCUUAUGCUUGUCUUUUUGGGUCUUUAGUAGCGCUUUUAACCCUCGGUAAAGGUUGG